rnacentral:rRNA from 1 species
UACGUAGGGGCAAGCGUUGUCCGGAUUCAUUGGGCGUAAAGAGCGUGUAGGCGGCCAGGUAGGUCGGUUGUGAAAACUGGAGGCUCAACCUUCAGAGGUCGACCGAAACCAUCUGGCUAGAGUCCGGGAGAGGAGAGUGGAAUUCCCGGUGUAGCGGUGAAAUGCGUAGAUAUUGGGAGGAACACCAGUGGCGAAGGCGGCUCACUGGACCGGAACUGACGCUGAGACGCGAAAGCGUGGGGAGCAAACAGG